CGACGGCUUGAUGGUGUUGUCGGUGAUGUGCAAAGACUCAGGAGAGACAUGAGGGAGAAGUGAGGGAGAAGAUAGAUAUCCAAAUUGUGGGAGAGGAAUUACCACUUGGCAAGAGAAGAGUGGAGAGUUGUGAGUUGUGGGCCCCACCGUCAUUAAUAUAAUUAAAAUAACAAAAUGUCCCUUUUUAAAAAAUAUUAAAAUAAUAAUAUGAUAGUAUAAAAGUUACCCUAUCAUUAGCUUUUUCCAAAUCUAUGAAGACCAUGUGUAAAUCUUUUUUUUUUAUCUCUAUAUCUUUCCAUCAAUCUUUGUAAGAGAUAGAUUGCCUCCAUAGUUGAGCGCCCUGGCAUGAACCUGAAUUGGUUGUCCGAAACCUGUGUCUCUUGCCUCAAUCUAUGCUCAAUGACUCUCUCCCAUAAAAGUUGAAUAAAUAUAUAAACUAUAAAAUAAUAAUUUUUUACGAAAGUAUAUUUCAGAUUCAUAGUUCCGUAAAAUUUUCUUCGUAACUUCGAAUUCGAUUCCGCUUGUGACUACAUGUUCGUACCAUUGAGUACUUUGAGAAUACGGUAAAAUAAUAGCUCAUACGCAUCAUGAAAAGAUGGUCAACGAAAGUUGGCAAACCAUGCCUUAGUGGUAGUUUACUGUCGACGAAGAUUUCUGGCAAAUACUGUUAUCGAAGACUAAUUCCGAUGGUAUAGUUCGUAUCAUAAUUUUACUAUACUUAUGCUCUGACAUAAUGUGUGAAAUGAGUUCAUUCCCGCUCACAAGUGCACUCUUUCAUUUAGGCGCUUUAGAUUUAAAUUUACUCACAUUUUCCACAUCACAACACUUUAUAGCUUCGUCACUCUCCUGGUGUCGGGCAAAACAUCCCAAUUCAGAGUCAAGGUGGACAUUUCGGAUCGGGGUGUGUCAAAAUGAUCAGUAGCUCUAUUUGCUCUCUAUAAAUAUGGCAAAUUUUGCAUUGCCAAUUUUUUCAAGAGGCAUAAAAUAUCCCUCGUCUUGCAAAAGUUAACUAGUUUAGUUUAUAAUUCUGUACGAGUUUUUUUUAUAUUUAUGUCUUAGGGUUUUCUUGUUGGAUAAAAAUUUGUAUUCUUUAAUUGCUCAUUAUGAUUAGAGUUUGCUAUAAGUUCUAUUUAUAAGAUUGUAUAUUAAUUAUUUUGCCGAAUACUCCGCUUAACAUAUGUUUAUACCCAUAUUUGACGCUUCAUGUAUGACAUGAUUUUCAUCUUAAAUUGAGUCAUAAUAACUAAGUUAAUUAUAAAAUUAAAGGAGGAAAUUGAUUAAGGAUUUUUAACAUUGAAGACAAACGCAUCAUUAUUGUCUUGGGAGGAUUAUAUUUUGAAAUUUUUAAUGGCUGAAAGAAAUCAAAGCUCAAGAGGCAGCAAGGGGAAGACAUCAAGAAUGGAUACUCUCGAUUACCAUAAAUAAGACCCUCUAGCUGAUUGUUAGAGGUCCUCGAGCAACACAUUCAACUUAUCCUUUUAGUUUAUGUGCACCCCAAGUGCUUUUAUCUUAUUUUUCUAUUCAAAAUGUAACUCUAUAUGGCUUUCUAAUUCAAAUUAGUUUUCAAUUUCAGGAAAUUAUUUUCUCGCAUUUAGAGUAAUUUUUAUUUUAUUGCAAUUUACUUUCAUACAAUUUAUUUUAUAGAAAAUUACUUAUCAAUUUGAUCCAUUCGACAAGUUUGUUUAGGUUGAUGCGAUUCGCCUCCUCAUACAUUUCAUCUCGCCGUAUCAAUUGCCAAAUUCACCUCCACUCAUCCAUUCACUUAUCAUGCCACGCCUAGAUCUCGAGAUACGUCCAGGAUCGGCACGUGAUGUCACCAAGUACCUAUAUAUCUACAUGCCUCGCCUUCAAAACAAGACCAAAAACACAAUUAAAUGGUUCAAUAGCGCAUUAACUUUUCUUUUAUUUCAUGGCUGCAUAUAACCUCUACGUUAGACUGCUUACGUACCCUAAUAUGACCUCAAGCCAUUCGUAAUUCAUCUUUCUUUUAAGCUCAAAACUCUCAAGGCACUAAUUGGCAAGAACAUAAAAUUCUAGAAUCUCUCAAUAAACGAGCAUGUCUCACAAGAUUUCAGUCUACAUUACGAAACCAUAUGCUAACCACGAUUGUCGUUUUGUCAUUUAACUAUAUCACACUAAUUCCCAACGCAAUUCCACAAUCAUAAUAAAUAAUCCAUUCAACGACUUAAUGAUGCACAAUAUUAACAUUUAAUUACGUUAAUCAACCAACAAGAUCAAGUAUCGAUUCACGAAAUUUAAUAAAGAAAAUCUCUCUAAUUCCAAGUAAUAACAUUGCAAAUACAAGUGUCUUUUCUAAGAAAUUCAUAUUCACAAGAAUUUAAGGUUCCAGACUAGAUCAGUGGAACAUAAUAAAAAUUGGGAUUUUGUACCACUCAAUGGAAACCAACUCGGGUUUAGGUAGAGAGUGAAGAGGAAGUGGCAUGGUGAUGAUCGUAGUUGGUGGCUUGGUGAGUUUUGCCAGAAAAAUCAAUGAAUUCACAUCGGAAAUUCACGUAGGGACUGGGUCAGAAAACAGGUAUUGGGGGAGGGGGACAAGAAUUGAGAUUCCAAACCACUCAACGAAAACCAACUAGGAAGUAGUCGCCCAUCAUGGAUUUAUCAAGCAUGACCACUCCAUACAAUGCUAGAUAGGCAACGUCAUCCAUCGUGGAUUAACCAAGUGUGGCCUUUAAAAUAUGUAUGGUCCAUUAUUGUGGAUUAACCAAGCAAGACCAUGUCCUUCAAUACUAGGUAGUGAUCACCCAUCGCGGAUAUACCAAGCAUGACCACUUCUAGAAUGUGUGUGAUCCCCCAUCGCGAAUAUACUAAGAACCAUAAGCAUAGUCUAAUAAGGUAGGCAGUGAUCACCCAAUGCAGAUAUACCAAGCAGAACCAAAACCUAUAGUACUAGGUAAUGAUCAUCCAUUUGUUGGAAAUAUGCCCUGAAAGUCAAUCUUUGGAAGAAACCUUUCAGGACAAAUGAAUGGAUGUAUAGAUGAUUCUUAUACAUCAAAUGGCAAAGAUACUAAUUA
rnacentral:lncRNA from 1 species